rnacentral:rRNA from 1 species
UGCCAGCCGCCGCGGUAAUACGAAGGUGGCAAGCGUUGUUCGGAAUCACUGGGCAUAAAGAGCACGUAGGCGGUGAUAUAAGUUGGGAGUGAAAUCCCUCGGCUCAACCGAGGAACUGCUUCCAAAACUGUAUCGCUAGUCGGUCGACGGGGAGAGUGGAAUUCCUGGUGGAGCGGUGAAAUGCAUAGAUAUCAGGAGGAACGCCGGUGGCGAAGGCGACUCUCUAGUCGAUUCGAGACGCUGAGGUGCGAAAGCGUGGGGAGCAAACAGGAUUAGAUA